rnacentral:rRNA from 1 species
GGGGGCUAACUGCAGUCGAGCGGACGAUGGGAGCUUGCUCCCUGAUGUUAGCGGCGGACGGGUGAGUAACACGUGGGUAACCUGCCUGUAAGACUGGGAUAACUCCGGGAAACCGGGGCUAAUACCGGAUGGUUGUUUGAACCGCAUGGUUCAAACAUAAAAGGUGGCUUCUGCUACCACUUACAGAUGGACCCGCGGCGCAUUAGCUAGUUGGUGAGGUAACGGCUCACCAAGGCAACGAUGCGUAGCCAACCUGAGAGGGUGAUCGGCCACACUGAGACUGAGACACGACCCAUACUCCUACGGGAGGCAGCAAAAAGGAAUCUUCCGCAAUGGACGAAAGUCUGACGGAGCAACGCCGCGUGAGUGAUGAAGGUUUUCGGAUCGUAAAGCUCUGUUGUUAGGGAAGAACAAGUACCGUUCGAAUAGGGCGGUACCUUGACGGUACCUAACCAGAAAGCCACGGCUAACUACGUGCCAGCAGCCGCGGUAAUACGUAGGUGGCAAGCGUUGUCCGGAAUUAUUGGGCGUAAAGGGCUCGCAUGCGGUUUCUUAAGUCUGAUGUGAAAGCCCCCGGCUCAACCGGGGAGGGUCAUUGGAAACUGGGGAACUUGAGUGCAGAAGAGGAGAGUGGAAUUCCACGUGUAGCGGUGAAAUGCGUAGAGAUGUGGAGGAACACCAGUGGCGAAGGCGACUCUCUGGUCUGUAACUGACGCUGAGGAGCGAAAGCGUGGGGAGCGAACAGGAUUAGAUACCCUGGUAGUUCACGCCGUAAACGAUGAGUGCUAAGUGUUAGGGGGUUUCCGCCCCUUAGUGCUGCAGCUAACGCAUUAAGCACUCCGCCUGGGGAGUACGGUCGCAAGACUGAAACUCAAAGGAAUUGACGGGGGCCCGCACAAGCGGUGGAGCAUGUGGUUUAAUUCGAAGCAACGCGAAGAACCUUACCAGGUCUUGACAUCCUCUGACAAUCCUAGAGAUAGGACGUCCCCUU